UACAGAGGGGGCAAGCGUUAUUCGGAAUUAUUGGGCGUAAAGGGCUCGUAGGCGGCCAACUAAGUCAGACGUGAAAUCCCUCGGCUUAACCGGGGAACUGCGUCUGAUACUGGAUGGCUUGAGUUUGGGAGAGGGAUGCGGAAUUCCAGGUGUAGCGGUGAAAUGCGUAGAUAUCUGGAGGAACACCGGUGGCGAAGGCGGCAUCCUGGACCAACACUGACGCUGAGUGAGCGAAAGCCAGGGGAGCCAAAGCGGG
rnacentral:rRNA from 1 species